GGCAGACGGGUGAGUAACGCGUGGGAAUCUACCCAGUUCUACGGAACAACAGAGGGAAACUUCUGCUAAUACCGUAUACGCCCCAAGGGGGAAAGAUUUAUCGGAAUUGGAUGAGCCCGCGUAAGAUUAGCUAGUUGGUGGGGUAAUGGCCUACCAAGGCGACGAUCUUUAGCUGGUCUGAGAGGAUGAUCAGCCACACUGGGACUGAGACACGGCCCAGACUCCUACGGGAGGCAGCAGUGGGGAAUAUUGGACAAUGGGCGCAAGCCUGAUCCAGCCAUGCCGCGUGAGUGAUGAAGGCCUUAGGGUUGUAAAGCUCUUUCAGUGGGGAAGAUAAUGACGGUACCCACAGAAGAAGCCCCGGCUAACUUCGUGCCAGCCGCCGCGG
rnacentral:rRNA from 1 species